GAGGUUGUAGCAAUACAAUCUUAGCGGCGAACGGGUGAGUAACGCGUUGGUGACCUGCCCCAAAGAGAGGGAUAACAGUCCGAAAGGAUUGCUAAUACCUCAUACUGUUACCGGGUUUAGAAGCCGGCAACUAAAGGCGUAAGCCACUUUGGGAGGGACCUGCGUCCCAUCAGCUAGUUGGUGAGGUAACGGCCCACCAAGGCGAUGACGGGUAGGGGACCUGAGAGGGUGGCCCCCCACAAUGGUACUGAAACACGGACCAUACACCUACGGGUGGCAGCAGUAGGGAAUAUUAGUUAAUGUGCGAAAGCGCGAACUAGCAACGCCGCGUGUGCGAUGAAGGCCUUCGGGUCGUAAAGCACUUUUCUAAGGGAUGAGGAAGGACAGUACCUUAGGAAUAAGCCUCGGCUAACUACGUGCCAGCAGCCGCGGUAAAACGUAGGAGGCAAGCGUUAUCCGGAUUUACUGGGCGUAAAGCGCGUGCAGGCGGUUUGGAAAGUUGGAUGUGAAAGCUCCUGGCUUAACUGGGAGAGGUCGUUCAAUACUACCAGACUUGAGGAUAGUAGAGGGAGAUGGAAUUCCGGGUGUAGUGGUGAAAUGCGUAGAUAUCCGGAGGAACACCAGUGGCGAAAGCGGUCUCCUGGACUAUUUCUGACGCUCAGACGCGAAAGCUAGGGUAGCAAACGGGAUUAGAGACCCCGGUAGUCCUAGCUGUAAACGAUGUAGACUUGGCGUCGGCGGGUUUAAAUCCGUCGGUGUCGAAGCUAACGCGAUAAGUCUACCGCCUGGGGACUACGGCCGCAAGGUUAAAACUCAAAGGAAUUGACGGGGGCCCGCACAAGCAGCGGAGCGUGUGGUUUAAUUCGAUAUUACACGAAGAACCUUACCAGGGUUUGACAUGCUGGUGGUAGUGAUUCGAAAGAUGAACGACCCUUCGGGGAGCCAGCACAGGCGCUGCAUGGCUGUCGUCAGCUCGUGUCGUGAGAUGUUCGGUUAAGUCCGCUAACGAGCGCAACCCUCCCUGUGUGUUAUAUGUGUCACACGGUACUGCCGGUCUUAAGCCGGAGGAAGGUGGGGAUGACGUCAAGUCAGCAUGGCCUUUAUAUCCUGGGCUACACACACCUACAAUGGCCAGAACAAUAGGUUGCUAAGCCGCGAGGUGGAGCCAAUCCCCAAAUCUGGUCUCAGUUCAGAUUGUAGGCUGCAACUCGCCUGCAUGAAGAUGGAGUUGCUAGUAACCGCAGGUCAGCUAUACUGCGGUGAAUACGUUCCCGGGCCUUGUACACACCGCCCGUCACGUCAUGGGAGCUGGCAACACCUGAAGCCGGUAUCCUAACCGAAAGGAAGGAGCCGUCGAAGGUGGGGUUGGUGACUGGGACGAAGUCGGAACAAGGUA
rnacentral:rRNA from 1 species